CUCUAUCGAGGUUAAAGGUACCCGUACCGCAAACCGACACAGGUGGGUGAGGAGAGUAUCCUAAGGCUAGCGAGAGAACUGUUGUUAAGGAACUCGGCAAAAUGACCCCGUAACUUAGGGAUAAGGGGUGCCACCAUCAGGUGGCCGCAGAGAAUAGGCCCAAGCGACUGUUUACCAAAAACAUAGGUUUCUGCUAAGUCGCAAGACGAUGUAUAGGAGCUGACGCCUGCCCGGUGCUGGAAGGUUAAGGGGAUCUGUUAGAGCAAUCGAAGCAGUGAACUUAAGCCCCAGUAAACGGCGGCCGUAACUAUAACGGUCCUAAGGUAGCGAAAUUCCUUGUCGGGUAAGUUCCGACCCGCACGAAAGGCGUAACGAUUUGGGCACUGUCUCAACAACAGACUCGGUGAAAUUGUAAUUCCGGUGAAGAUGCCGGAUACCUGCGACAGGACGGAAAGACCCCAUGGAGCUUUACUGUAGCUUGACAUUGGGUCUUGGUACUACAUGUACAGGAUAGGUGGGAGGCUUUGAAACCAGGACGCCAGUUUUGGCGGAGCCAUCCUUGGGAUACCACCCUUGUAGUACUGGGACUCUAACCAUAGGCCAUGAAUCUGGUCUUGGGACACUGUCAGGUGGGCAGUUUGACUGGGGCGGUCGCCUCCCAAAAGGUAACGGAGGCGCUCAAAGGUUCUCUCAGUACGGUCGGAAAUCGUACGUAGAGUGUAAAGGCAAAAGAGAGCUUGAUUGCAAGACAUACAGGUCGAGCAAGGAUGAAAAUCGGACUUAGUGAUCCGGUGGUUCUGCGUGGAAGGGCCAUCGCUCAACGGAUAAAAGCUACCCUGGGGAUAACAGGCUUAUCUCCCCCAAGAGUCCACAUCGACGGGGAGGUUUGGCACCUCGAUGUCGGCUCAUCACAUCCUGGGGCUGUAGUAGGUCCCAAGGGUUGGGCUGUUCGCCCAUUAAAGUGGUACGCGAGCUGGGUUCAGAACGUCGUGAGACAGUUCGGUCCCUAUCCGUCGCAGGCGUAGGAAAUUUGAGAAGACCUGUCCUUAGUACGAGAGGACCGGGAUGGACGUACCUCUGGUGUACCAGUUGUCCUGCCAAGGGCAUGGCUGGGUAGCUAUGUACGGAAUGGAUAAGCGCUGAAAGCAUCUAAGCGCGAAGCCAACUUCAAGAUAAGAUUUCCCACCGCAAGGGUAAGACCCCAGAAAGACUAUCUGGUUGAUAGGUCGAAGGUGUAAGUGCAGCAAUGUAUUUAGCUUAUCGAUACUAAUAG
rnacentral:rRNA from 1 species